GUAAAACUUUAGCCGUCCAUUUAUAAAUAGCACAGAGUAAAAAUGUGUAACUAGUUCGCGCGAUAUUACGUUUACCCGGAAGUUAUUUGAAGGUGACCCAUUGACAAAAUGGCAGCCACCUUAGUGAAAGUUGCAACUAAAGUUGCUGUAGGAGUUGGUGCAGUAUAUGUUACUGUAGACCAGGGGGUAUGGGGUACAAACAGUCAAGCAGUCAAAGCAGUAGACAAAGUUAGAAGUUCUGUUUUACCAGCAGCCAAUGAUUAUGUGAAAUCAAUUCCAUCUCUAAAUGAUAUCAACAAUUCAGUUCUAAGAACAUGGAAUUCUGGUGUGAAAAAGACCUUCUCAGUGCUAUCAAAUGCCCCAUCAAAAGCUAGAGAAUACAGUAAAAAAGCCUACGAUUCAUCUCUACGUCUGAUUAAAGAGAACUGAGAGAUCCCAUUGUUCAUUGAACAGUUUAAUAAGUGCUAUGGAGAUUACUCUAUACAGUGGACAAAGUGUAUCAUCUUUCGUGUGUUAAAUUUUAUUAGUUUUGUAGCCUAAUUAAUAUCAGUAACAAUAAGAAGACAACAUAAAACUAAUGAUACCACAAUACAUGGCAUUUUUUUUCAUAACAUGAUUAUGUUGAGUUUUACUCGUUCAGUUACAUGAGAAGUUAUUGUACUAUUAUAAACAUAAAAUGUUGACUUGCAAGAUGAGAAUGCUGUGAUAAUAAAAAAUUGUAGUUAAACAGAAAAAUCUAUUGUAAAGAUGAUCAUUUAAGUGCAACAUUUUACGGAAAUGACUUAUGAACCCUCCACCACAAUAGUAAUUCUCGACCUAACAAUGAUAGCUGUAUCCUCUAAACUGUGAUGUCAUGUUUCACCAGAUAUUGUAGUGACGACGAAUUUGAUUUUCUUUGGAUAUUUCACUGAUGAUUUCAGACACUAGUACAAUGAAAAUAUGUAAUGUAAAUUUGAUUUCUGCUUUCACAAGUUAUCAACUGAAGAAUUAAGUAGGAAGUAACUUGAAGUAGGAAAUAACUUGACAUUUUAAUUAUAUCAGUAUUUUUAUUCGCCCACAUUGAAAUGUGGUCAUAUAUAUUGUUGUCGCCCCCGUCUGUCUAGAGGCUAAAGUUAAUAUCCGAUUGACUUUAAAUUUAUACACAGUGUUUAAGGUCAUGAGACGAAGAAGCCUAUUGAUUUUCAGUGAUUUCCGAUAAUUACUGCCAGAGUUAUGGCCCUUGAUCGCUUUCAAAAAUCUUGUGGACGCUCUAGAGGCUAAAGUUAAUAUCCGAUUGACUUAUAACUUAUACACAGUGUUUAAGGUCAUGAGACUAAAAAGCCUAUUGAUUUUCAGUGAUUUCCGAUAAUAACGGCCAGAGUUAUGGCCCUUGAUCACUUUGAAAAAUCUUGUGGACGCUCUAGAGGCUAAAGUUAAUAUCCGAUUGACUUUAAAUUUAUACACAGUGUUGAAGGUCAUGAGACGAAGAAGCCUAUUGAUUUUCAACGAUUUCGGAUAAUUACUGACAGAGUUAUGAAAAAUCUUGUGACGCUCUAGAGGCUAAAGUUAUCAUCUGAUUGACUUCAGAUUGAUAACACAGAGUUUUUAAAAGGUCUUGAGAUGAACAAGUAUAUUGACUUUCAAUGAAUCUUUAUGACUUGAAACAUCUAAAUCCAUGAUGUUAAAAGUUUCGUAUACUAAACGGUAGCAUGGGACAGAACUUUAUAAAAACCAAACAAAUUCUAAUAGUUUUCUGAUAAUUACUUAAUGAGUUGUUACUCUUAAUCAGAUUUUAAUGUAUUACUGAAAAAAGUCAAAAUACGCGACAACUCUUUUUGACUGCCCGGACGAUAUAGCUGCUGUGGGUGUAUGUUUUGUUGCCUGGCAACCUAUCUUUAAAUAUUGCCUGGAUAACUUAGGCUAUAAUUAUUCACUUCAUGUAGACAAAACGAGUGCAUAAAGUUACCCUCAGAUUUUUUUGGAUAUGCUCACAUCUAAAAGUCAUUUGCAGGAGUGGGCUUCAGUUAGGAUAUAUAAAGAUGAAAAAGCUCACAA